ensembl:lncRNA
UAGUGGGAGGAACCUGCAGGCUCCGGCGGCUGGGAAAUCUGUUUGGUCACACCCAGAGCAGGUAUGUCAGGAGGCCAGAGCCGGCAAGUGCGUUGCUCUUCCUGACACAGGCCGAAGUAUAACAAAGGAAAAAAGCAAAUUGCCAAAGGUACUUCCAAUUGUAAAGUACUGCCUAAUUGGUGACCUUUAAAACACUUGCCCUCUCCUCCCCAACUUACCAAAUGGAACCACAUCCUUCCAAGUGACCCACCAUGAACAAUAAGAAGGACCUGGAUUAAAAGCCAAGGUUUAAACAGACGGUACCAGCAGCGAGCCACCAGCAAUGACACCACUGGGUUGGUAUCUUCCCCAGCUGGUUCUGUGCCCAGAAUAUAAAACAGCUAAGAAAUAAAAUGACAAGACAACAAAGCAGAUAACACUGGAAGCAAUUACAGCCUCUCGUGAUGCUGAGAUUUCUAGAACUGCCACUCAAGGAGCGGUACUAUUCUAAUCGAAGGCCAUUGCCCAUGAACCAGAUCACAGGCUGGCUGAUUCCUAUUAUUCUGUUCCUAAUUUUCCUAAUUGUGUUCACCUGUCCCUGCUUUAGUCCUGACUUUGUAAGUUGCAGUUCAUUUCACACAGACCCAUCUCAAAGGCAAUAUAGAGGCUGGAGUUGACAAAAAAGUCAGCAGUAUCAUUGUUUCCAGCCUGCAGCAUUUGUUAAUGUCCUCGUGGGAAGUGACUUGAACAUCUUCAAAACCACCUGGACCUCCUCUUACUGGUGUCACAAGCUGGCGUCCAUAGGCCUGCAAAAGCUGUCAGUUUUGAGGCUGAGAAGGGGAGCUGAUGUGAGCAAGAGGAUGAAGAUGCUGCCUCCCCGCCCCCCAUGGUGGCAGGUGACAGAAAUUGUUGCAUAAAUGACCAGAAAAUGAGCUGAGGUCACAUGGUCUGCUGAAGGUUUUUACAGCACCUCAGACACAGAGCUCCUCGCAUUACUCCUGGUGUGUCAGUAUUGGCUCAUCUCACAGAGCCUGAAGCUGAAGUUCAUUUCCAAUUUCCUAAACUGUCUCGCCUCCAGCAGCAGAAUCUGUUCAUUUCAGCUUUAGACACACGGCUCCUGGUGUUUUCACUCUUCUUCGUGUGGUACAUCCGGCCUAAGAACACUUAUCAGGCUUGUCAGUUUAGCAGCUGUACUUCUCUGCCCACACCACCCCAGGC